UGGAUGCUAUUCUCUGGGACUAAGCCAUGCAUGUUGAUGAACCUUGUGGGGGAUUGACGGACGGCUCAGUGAUAGUACGAUGAUUUGGUUGGCGGGAGAGCUGUAACUGCGGGAAACUGCAGGUAGGGGGCUAGGAGUGUUUUUGACACGAGCCAAGUAAGUUGUAGGCCUAUCAGCUGGUAGUUAGGGUAAUGGCCUAACUAGGCGGAGACGGGAGACGGGGGAUCGGGGUUUGAUUCCGGAGAGGGAGCCUGAGAGAUGGCUACUACGUCCAAGGAUGGCAGCAGGCGCGAAACUUGCCUAAUCCUUUGGGGAGGCGGUUAUGAGAAGUGAGUUUUUUUCGAGUGUAAAGGAGUCGAGAUUGAUUGGAGGGCAAGUCGGGUGCCAGCAGCCGCGGUAAUACCUGCUCCAAUAGUGUCUAUGGUGAAUGCUGCAGUUAAAAAGUCCGUAGUCUUUUGUAUGUCUUUGUUUGGGGGAUUAUGUCCUGAUGUGGAUGUAAGAGGUUUGGCAGAGGACGAGGGGCACCGGAUAGUUGGGCGAGGGGUGAAAUACGAAGACCCUGACUGGACGGACAGAAGCGAAGGCUGUGCUCUUGGACUUAUGUGACGAUGAAGGACGAAGGCUAGAGGAUCGAAAUCGAUUAGAUACCGUUUUAGUUCUAGCAGUAAACGAUGCCGACUGGACGGGACUAUAUAGUGUUGUGCAUGAGAAAUCUUGAGUAUGUGGGUUCUGGGGAUAGUAUGCUCGCAAGAGUGAAACUUGAAGAGAUUGACGGAAGGACACCACAAGGAGUGGAGUGUGCGGCUUAAUUUGACUCAACGCGGGGCAACUUACCGGUUCUGAAG
rnacentral:rRNA from 1 species